CUUUGACAAGGAAGAAAAAUAUUAGUACAUUCUAUUGUACAUAUUGAAGGAGUAACCCAUGGCAUGGGGCCUCUACUUUGACAAGGAACAAAAAAAAAAAUAUUAGAUGAUGAAGUAUAGGUGAGAUGGUACAGAGUUCAGCCAUGGAAUAAAAAGGCUAUUUUUCCUAUCCUUUCAUUUACAAAAGAGGUGGUCUACCUAUGUAGGAGGACAUUUAGAUCAAUAUAAAUUACACCCAUAAUAUAUAUUUUUUGGUUGUUAAUUUAAUUUUGAUGGUUACAGAGAAACAGCCAAAACUGCAUCAGUGCUCAGCACUAAUUUUCCCUCUUUUCUCUCCCCAUCCUUCCCUAUCCUUCUCAUACCCCUCAUAUUCAUAUUUAGGACCCCUGUUCAGUCCCUACAGUGUGUCCUCAAACUCCCCUGACACACGUCCCCUGACGAGAAGCCCUGAUACUUCGGCACCCCCAGAAAACCAAUGACCAAAGUCCCUGAUGCUGCCACAUCAGUGGCAGAUGAGAGUGUACCCCUUCAAACAGUUCCGGGCAUGGGACGCAUGUCAGGUGACCAAAGUGAUAUCCCCACCGGUCAUGUCAGGGACUACAGACGACUGGCCAUUGGUAGCAUCAUCUGUGGAAUGUCCUGCAUUGGCAUCUUUGCUUUGAUUAAUUCUGUCAAGGUGCGAGAAAGAAGAACGUCAGACCCAGAAAAGGCUCAGAUUUACUCUCACAAGGCCUGGAAAUUCAGCCUCAUUGCUAUCGCAGUGUGGGUAGGAGUCAUCAUUCUCAUCCCUGUUCUCAUGGCUUUAGUAUCCUUCCUCCUCACACUGAAAAACUAGCCCAGUGUUUCCCAACUCUGGCCCUGGCUGUACGCUGUAUAUGCUAGUUUUCCUUCCAUCUAGGCUCUCAGUAAAUUCUGAUGAACAAAGCAAUUAAUUGUAUGAAUUGAAUACUGAUCUGGAAUUGGCAGAAGUAUCUGCAGGUAGUUCUUCUGUUCAGCUGGGGGCACACAAACGCAAUGAUCUGUCAAAAAAUGUUGGCGGUCAACCAUGAACUGUCUUCACCACGGUGCAUCCUAUAGUCUGUAGUUGCCCACUGUUGAUAGCCAUCAUUCUCAAUUCAACACGCAAAAUCGGUGUUAGCCAUUGGUGAAUUUUUUAGAAACAGAACAAGAAACAUUCCAAUAUCAUACGGAUCAGUAUUUACUCCACAGGUUACUGAAACCUCAAGUGAAAACAAAACCAAUGAGAGCUCAGGAGAAGCAAAAACCAUCACAUGUGGUUUGCCUCCAAGACUAGGGCUGGGAAACACUGGAUUUUACCUAGCUCUCCCCACAGUUUUAUGCAUAAUUGUUAGUCUGGAGGGUUUAUUGUUAAAUGGGUUUGCAACAUUUUCUGUUCCAAAGAUAAUUACGCAUUUGUUCAUGUUCUAAACACGCACCUCACUCCCAUUUCCAUACUACAUCUUUUUAAAUACAGAAAUAUUUUCAGCCCAGUCUCUUAAUGAACCUAGGUAUAUUAAUAUUUGUUUGGACAACAUGUAUCAGACCACAAUGGAGGUCAUUUAUGUAGCCUACUAACUAACUACUACACACAUAGGCUACAUAAAGUAGCAUUAGUGGAUAGUGGAGCUUCAGCUCGUCUUCUGAAGUGAAUAUCAUGUUUUGUGUACACAUGAAGGGAUAUGCAUGAGCAUGCAUACAUUGAGCAAUAGUUAAAUUAUGUUCUUAUUUUGAGAACAUUAACUUGUCUUUGGUUACUUGGUUACUUUUCUCCUGUGCAUUCUUCUGACCAAGGUACACUGAAGUUAAAGAAAGCUGAUUUCAUACUGAAGAUGAACAAAACAUAUUACAUGUACAAGGUUGAGCAACUACUGUCCAUCUACUUACGGCAAUAACCAGACAAUUAGCAGGGUUGCUCUCCUUAGCCAUCACAUCUUUCAAAAAUAUCUAACAUUACUAAUAAUUUUCUGUUUCAUCAAUGAAACACCAGUUUUCAUGAUUUAAAAAAUGGACAAUGCCACUGCAACAUUUUGAUCAGCAGAAUAUAUACAAAGUUCAUUUUUGUUCAUUUGUUUUGUAUAGACUGGUGCCCAACUUGAAAGAAAUUAAUAUAUU